AAAGUUGAAAAGAACUUUGAAGAGAGAGUUCAAGAGUACGUGAAACCGUUCAGGGGUAAACCUGAGAAACCUAAAAGAUCGAAUGGGGAGAUUCAUCGUUUGCUCAUUUUGUAUAUAUAUGAGUUAUGAUGUGAGUUACUACUUGUAGUAUUGCUUACACAUUCUUAUAUAUUUAGUUGCAAGAUGUUGUCGGCGUGCACUUCUCCCCUAGUAGGACGUCGCGACCCGUUGGGUGUCGGUCUACGGCCCAAGUGGGAGACUUUAAUAUUUAAUAAUAUUAAAGACCCUUGGUGUAACCUGACCGGCUACUCGGCGGUACUCGUAUGGUAUUGAGCCGCAAUUAUAUGUGCGUCUAUGCCCGUCGCAAGCACGAUUAAUAACUGAUAGUAUGGACCUAGUGCCGUCGUUAGUAUUAAUCAGCUGUUGGUUGUACGGUGUUCUAAGACAGGCUUAAAAUAUUACCGGUCGGCGAUGCUACUGCUUUAGGUACUUUCAGGACCCGUCUUGAAACACGGACCAAGGAGUCUAACAUGUACGCAAGUCAUUGGGAUUUUUAAAAAAUUAAACCUAAAGGCGUAAUGAAAGUAAAGGUCGUCCUUGCGUCGACCGAGGGAGGAUGAGUUAUGUCAAGAUAUAGCUUCGCACUCCCAGGGCGUCUCACUCUUAUUAUAAGAAGAGGCGCACCUAGAGCGUACACGUU
rnacentral:rRNA from 1 species